AUACGUCAGGGAUGAUGUUAGCGG
rnacentral:snRNA from 1 species